ACCCGGCUAGUUCAGUUGAUAGAGUAUGGAACCCUUGAUCUCAGGAUCGUGGGUUUGCGACCCAUGCUGGGUG